rnacentral:tRNA from 1 species
GCAUCGGUGGUGUAGCGGUAACAUACGGUCCUACGUUGACCGUGCUCGGGGUUCGACUCCCGGCUGAUGCA